CCCUCGGUCGUCUAGUUGGUUUAUGGCGUCCGGCUGUAAUUGAUCAGCUUCACCGGAAUGGUAGGUCCAACCACUAUAAAAUUUCUCUCAGGCAGAUGCUAACAUCUGCACAGUCGCGCGUUCGACUCGCGCCUGAGGGA